rnacentral:misc_RNA from 1 species
GAAAGAAAAAAAAAUACACAUUCCAUUUUCUGGCAAAGUGUAGAAUAGGAAUAGAUUAUGACAACUGAAGCUUAAGCUGUCAUUAUUUGACAAGUGAAGUCAAAACAUUUCUCAAACACAGAAGACAAUAGUAACCUCAGAGAGCUCCCAACAACAGGUUCAACAAAGUUCCCGUUUCCGUUAGUCUGUCUCCACUCUACUUCAUUUCAUGUAUUUCAG